UAUGUAUUCAAAUCCAUUGUUUUUGUGGUGUUAAUUACUCUAUUGGAUUCCUUUUUGUUCUGUUAAUUAAAUCCUAACCUAGACCCUCCCUUUCCGUCCUCUUCGCACUCUUCUUUUCCUUGCCCCCUCCUCUGCUCGCACAAACGCAGGUAGACACACCCCACAAACAGAGGCAGAAACAAACGCAUUUCUCGUUUGUCAUUCGGAGUAAUUUGCAAUAUCCUGCACUGAGUGCUUUGAGAAGACUUCCUCUGGAUCCGGGAACUCCCGCAUUUCUUCAUCAUGCUGUACAGGGUCAAUGCCUUCCUCGUGGAGAUUCUCUCUGUAUUCAGCCCUUAGGAUCUUUGACUAGUCCAGAAUGUUCACCGAAAGCGAGAACGGGAUCGUGCCGUUGAUGACAGCGCGGUCGGCAGAACUGGCUCACGAAGGCUUGGGGGAUGGCCUCCUCGAGAGGUGCGAGGCUGCUGGGGAGGGCAUGAGGAACUCAGGUGAGUCAUAGUGUUGGACUCGUCCAGUUCGAAUACCUAGUCGUGAGCGAUGAUAGGAUUGUGGUGCUCCCGAUAAUUGGGAAGGAAACGGUAGCUUGGACGAGCGUAGUAACUCUUAUUGGCUACCAUGGAAAGGUAUUGGACCCUUACGCAGAGAGUUUUGACCUUCUCUCUCUCUUUGACAUUGGUUGGUUUUAGGUCUAGGAAAUGGGACUUCCGAUCUGGUUUUAUAAGAGGUUCUGAGUUCAGACAAUUCUGAUGAAGGAAAAUACUAUUUCCACAGACAAUUUUUACCGAAAUUGUUAACCGAAAUUUUUUUAAUUUUUUUUUUUUUCA